GGAUGUAGCUCAGUUGGUAGAGUGUUUGCCUCAGCAUGCACAAGGCCCUAGGUUGGAUCCUUAGCACCA
rnacentral:tRNA from 1 species